ACAUCCAGAGAAUUUAGCAGAGAUGCUUUAGUGCCUUCGGGAACUCUGAGACAGGUGCUGCAUGGCUGUCGUCAGCUCGUGUUGUGAAAUGUUGGGUUAAGUCCCGCAACGAGCGCAACCCUUAUCCUUUGUUGCCAGCACGUAAUGGUGGGAACUCAAAGGAGACUGCCGGUGAUAAACCGGAGGAAGGUGGGGAUGACGUCAAGUCAUCAUGGCCCUUACGAGUAGGGCUACACACGUGCUACAAUGGCGCAUACAAAGAGAAGCGACCUCGCGAGAGCAAGCGGACCUCAUAAAGUGCGUCGUAGUCCGGAUUGGAGUCUGCAACUCGACUCCAUGGAGUCGGAAUCGCUAGUAAUCGUAAAUCAGAAUGUUACGGUGAAUACGUUCCCGGGCCUUGUACACACCGCCCGUCACACCAUGGGAGUGGGUUGCAAAAGAAGUAGAUAGCUUAACCUUCGGGAGGGCGUUUACCACUUUGUGAUUCAUGACUGGGGUGAAGUCGUAACAAGGUAGGCGUAGUGCU
rnacentral:rRNA from 1 species